rnacentral:rRNA from 1 species
CCCUUAGAUGUUCUGGGCUGCACACGUGCUACACUGGCAGGUUCAGCGAGCAUCAUGCCCUGAUCUGAAAGGAAUGGGAAAUCUUUUCAAAACCUGCCGUGCUUGGGAUAGAUGUUUGCAAUUAUUCAUCUUCAACGAGGAUUGCCUUGUAAGCGCACGUCAUCAGCGUGCAUUGAAUACGACCCUGUAUUCUGUACACACCGCCCGUCGCUCCUACCGAUUGAAGUUUUCGGUGAGUUGACAGGAGGAUUUUUUUGAAACUGGUUCGCCAGUGGAUUUUAGAUCCAAAUGCCAACGAAUCGAUGGCUUUAGAGGAAGGAGAAGUCGUAACA